rnacentral:rRNA from 1 species
GAUGAACGCUAGCGGCAGGCCUAAUACAUGCAAGUCGAACGGGAUUGGGGAGCUUGCUUUCCAUGAGAGUGGCGUACGGGUGCGUAACGCGUAUGCAACCUACCUUCAUCAGGGGGAUAGCCCGAAGAAAUUCGGAUUAACACCGCAUAACAACACAGUACGGCAUCGUACAAUGUUCAAAUAUUUAUAGGAUGGAGAUGGGCAUGCGUGUCAUUAGCUAGUUGGUAAGGUAACGGCUUACCAAGGCGACGAUGACUAGGGGAUCUGAGAGGAUGACCCCCCACACUGGUACUGAGACACGGACCAGACUCCUACGGGAGGCAGCAGUAAGGAAUAUUGGUCAAUGGAGGGAACUCUGAACCAGCCAUGCCGCGUGCAGGAAGACGGCCCUAUGGGUUGUAAACUGCUUUUAUGUCGGAAUAAACCUAAGUACGCGUACUUAGCUGAAUGUACGGCAAGAAUAAGGAUCGGCUAACUCCGUGCCAGCAGCCGCGGUAAUACGGAGGAUCCAAGCGUUAUCCGGAUUUAUUGGGUUUAAAGGGAGCGUAGGCGGCUUAUUAAGUCAGGGGUGAAAGACGGUGGCUCAACCAUCGCAGUGCCUUUGAUACUGAUGAGCUUGAAUAUAGUUGAGGUAGGCGGAAUGUGACAAGUAGCGGUGAAAUGCAUAGAUAUGUCACAGAACACCAAUUGCGAAGGCAGCUUACUAAGCUAUGAUUGACGCUGAGGCUCGAAAGCGUGGGGAUCAAACAGGAUUAGAUACCCUGGUAGUCCACGCCCUAAACGAUGAUAACUCGAUGUUUGCGAUAUACAGUAAGCGUCCAAGCGAAAGCGUUAAGUUAUCCACCUGGGGAGUACGGUCGCAAGAUUGAAACUCAAAGGAAUUGACGGGGGCCCGCACAAGCGGAGGAGCAUGUGGUUUAAUUCGAUGAUACGCGAGGAACCUUACCCGGGCUUGAAAGUUAGUGAAGACAGCAGAGAUGCUGUCGUGGUUUACCACACGAAACUAGGUGCUGCAUGGCUGUCGUCAGCUCGUGCCGUGAGGUGUUGGGUUAAGUCCCGCAACGAGCGCAACCCCUAUGUUUAGUUGCCAGCGAGUGAAGUCGGGGACUCUAAACAGACUGCCUGUGCAAACAGUGAGGAAGGAUGGGACGACGUCAAGUCAUCAUGGCCCUUACGUCCGGGGCUACACACGUGCUACAAUGGUCGGUACAGAGGGCCGCUACUUAGCAAUAAGAUGCCAAUCUCAAAAAGCCGAUCACAGUUCGGAUCGGGGUCUGCAACUCGACCCCGUGAAGUUGGAUUCGCUAGUAAUCGCGUAUCAGCAAUGACGCGGUGAAUACGUUCCCGGGCCUUGUACACACCGCC